CUGUGGUCUAAGUUCCUUGGAACAGGACGUCGCAGAGGGUGAGAAUCCCGUAUGUGGCCGCCAGUCUUCGCCGUGUAAAGCCCCUUCGACGAGUCGAGUUGUUUGGGAAUGCAGCUCUAAAUGGGAGGUAAAUUUCUUCUAAAGCUAAAUAUUGGCCAGAGACCGAUAGCGCACAAGUAGAGUGAUCGAAAGAUGAAAAGCACUUUGGAAAGAGAGUCAAAAAGCACGUGAAAUUGUUGAAAGGGAAGCGCUUGCAGCCAGACUUGCUUGCAGUUGUUCAGCCGGGCUCUUGCCCGGUCUACUCUUCUGCUCGCAGGCCAGCAUCAGUCCGGGCGGUUGGAUAAAGGCCUAUUAAACGUACCUCCCCUCGGGGAGGACUUAUAGGGUAGGCGACAUGCAACCAGCCCGGAUUGAGGUCCGCGCAUCUGCUAGGAUGCUGGCGUAAUGGCUGUAAGCGGCCCGUCUUGAAACACGGACCAAGGAGUCUAACAUCUAUGCGAGUGUUUGGGUGUCAAGCCCGAGCGCGUAAUGAAAGUGAACGGAGGUGGGAACCUUUCGGGGUGCACCAUCGACCGAUCCUGAUGUCUUCGGAUGGAUUUGAGUAAGAGCAUAGCUGUUGGGACCCGAAAGAUGGUGAACUAUGCCUGAAUAGGGUGAAGCCAGAGGAAACUCUGGUGGAGGCUCGCAGCGGUUCUGACGUGCAAAUCGAUCGUC
rnacentral:rRNA from 1 species